CUGCUCUCUCUCACCGCACAACCAUCUGCUCACUACUCUCUCUUUCUUUCUUUCUCUCAACUCCAAAGCUCCACAACCACUACUUAGCAUCGCCGCCGGAGCUAGGCUACCAAACUUCACCAAUUCCAACGAGACUGACCUUUGUCUCUUCGGAAAACCCCAAAAUCGUAUCUCCUUCUCGUUGCUUCCAAACCUCGACGGCGGAGGUUUUUUCCCCUCUUCCAAAACCUAAAGUCGCAAGAAGUUACUAAAUCAUAUUGUGUGAGCUGCCUCCUGAACACCCUAUCUCUAACAUUAGACCUCUACGAGAUUCACUCAAUCUUCUCUUCAGAUUGUCUAAGAUUUUGCUUGUUUAUAAUGGCUGUCAUAGAAAAUAAAAUUCAGUGGCAUAUAGUGGUGCUGGAGCAGCCACACAUAAGCAAUGGCCUAAGGACUAUACUUGAAGACGUGCUGGACUUAGCAAAUGAGAUUGACCAAGUUUCAUUUGGGUUAGGAGAGAUGUAAAUCAAGUAGCUUAUGAGCUUGCUAAGUGGGGCUUUGUUAACAAUUGGAAUGGUUUUGUAAAUUGUGGUCUUACUUGAUUGUCUGAUAUAUGUGAUCAUGAAGGAUGCUCUAGGUUGUACAAUUUCAAUUUCGUUCUUUAUAAUAAA